rnacentral:rRNA from 1 species
GCGCACCAGUCGCGAAAACUUUACAAUGUGCGAAAGCACGAUAAGGGAACUCUGAGUGCCUCCUAAGGAGGCUGUUCUGAUGUCUAAAAGCAACAGAAGUAAGGGCUGGGUAAGACCGGUGCCAGCCGCCGCGGUAACACCGGCAGUCCAAGUGGUAGCCACGUUUAUUGGGUCUAAAGCGCUCGUAGCCGGCCAGGUAAGUUCCUUGGUAAAUUUAGCCGCUUAACGGUUAAGCUUUCGGGGAAUACUGCUUGGCUUGGGACUGGGAGAGGUCAGAGGUACUCCGGGGGUAGGGGUGAAAUCUAUUAAUCCCUGGGGGACCACCGGUAGCGAAGGCGUCUGACCAGACCAGGUCCGACGGUGAGGGACGAAGGCUAGGGGCGCGAACCGGAUUAGAUACCCGGUGUAGU